AGACCAGGAGUCCUUGCCUGAGGAGAGCUGAUGGAGGAGCCGUGCACCUGGAGAACCAUGAGUCUGCCUGCCAACAAGUAGUACUGGAAGGCGGGGCAUAGGGAGGUGAUGGAGGACCUGCCUGGUGAAGGACAUCAGGGUGGGGCGAGUGACACCCGACUCCAAGGGGAUAUCCACUGAGGAGAGAGCUGAAGGAGCCAUGCAUCUGGAAGGUGCAGUUGAAAUGCUGUGUCCAGUCUGGGACACACACCUGAGCUGCGUCAAGCCUGUAUCUCUGACCAGCUGGAGUCCCUUAGUGAUCAACAACCGCCACUCAUCGCUGGCCUGUGGAUUCAUCUCCUUCACUCACACAACGUGACCUUGGCCUGUGGAUUCAUCUACUCCACACUCACACAACAGGACUUUGGCCUGUGGAUUCAUCUACUCCACACUCACACAACAGGACUUUGGCCUGUGGAUUCAUCUCCUCCACACUCACGCAACGUGACCUUCUCACCAUCUGUUGCACGUUUGGAUGCACCUAGCGUGUUCCAUCGAGGGUUCCUUCCUCCCCACGGUGGGAGGGUUCCUUGUCCUUCAAGGCGUCGGGGUUCAGUGUUAGGGACAGAGUUAGGGACAGAUGGCUGCGCUGGAUUCACGAUAUACGCUUUGUGAUCAAAAUGGGUUCGGACAUUGGACAAAUCGCUUCCCAAAAUGUUUCAAUGU